GACGAACGCUGGCGGCGUGCUUAACACAUGCAAGUCGAACGGAAAGGCCCUGCUUUUGUGGGGUGCUCGAGUGGCGAACGGGUGAGUAACACGUGAGUAACCUGCCCUUGACUUUGGGAUAACUUCAGGAAACUGGGGCUAAUACCGGAUAGGAGCUCCUGCUGCAUGGUGGGGGUUGGAAAGUUUCGGCGGUUGGGGAUGGACUCGCGGCUUACCAGCUUGUUGGUGGGGUAGUGGCUUACCAAGGCUUUGACGGGUAGCCGGCCUGAGAGGGUGACCGGCCACAUUGGGACUGAGAGACGGCCCAGACUCCUACGGGAGGCAGCAGUGGGGAAUAUUGCACAAUGGGCGGAAGCCUGAUGCAGCAACGCCGCGUGCGGGAUGACGGCCUUCGGGUUGUAAACCGCUUUCGCCUGUGACGAAGCGUGAGUGACGGUAAUGGGUAAAGAAGCACCGGCUAACUACGUG
rnacentral:rRNA from 1 species